AACGAACGCUGGCGGCAGGCCUAACACAUGCAAGUCGAGCGCCCCGCAAGGGGAGCGGCAGACGGGUGAGUAACGCGUGGGAAACUACCCUUUGGUACGGAACAACUCGGCGAAAGCUGAGCUAAUACCGUAUGUGUCCUCCGGGAGAAAGAUUUAUCGCCAAAGGAUGUGCCCGCGUCGGAUUAGCUAGUUGGUGGGGUAACGGCCCACCAAGGCGACGAUCCGUAGCUGGUCUGAGAGGAUGAUCAGCCACACUGGGACUGAGACACGGCCCAGACUCCUACGGGAGGCAGCAGUGGGGAAUAUUGGACAAUGGGGGCAACCCUGAUCCAGCCAUGCCGCGUGAGUGAUGAAGGCCUUAGGGUUGUAAAGCUCUUUCGCCCGCGAAGAUAAUGACUGUAGCGGGAGAAGAAGCCCCGGCUAACUUCGUGCCAGCCGCCGCAGUAAUAC
rnacentral:rRNA from 1 species